AAUGGGAAUUCAGACCAAAAGGAAAAAAUGACAGUCACCUGACAGUGUGGUGCCCAGCCAACCAGCUAUACCUCUUUUGAAGAUUUUAAGAACUUAGCCUCCUGAACAGUCUUCUUCGAAAGUGAAAAGUGGUAACAGCUGAUGAGUAUCAAGAAAUUAUUUUCUGCAAAGGGGCAGAGUUAAUUGUAUUUGGAACCCAUGACAGCACCUACUGGGGAAAGACUUUAAGUGAGGAGAAACGGCUCUACAGGUCAUGAAACUAUGGAAAUGAGAUGGUUUUUGUCAAAGAUUCAGGAUGACUUCAGAGGUGGAAAAAUUAACCUAGAAAAAACUCAGAGGUUACUUGAAAAAUUAGAUAUUCGGUGCAGUUAUAUUCAUGUGAAACAGAUUUUUAAGGUAGAAAAAUCAGGCCCAGUUUUAGAUAUCAGCAGAAGUAGAAAUAUAGUUUCCUCAGUUUUGAUAAAGCUGUGAACUUGUAUUCUGAGUGCCCUUGUGAAAGGAUGCCGUUGUUUGGAGAUUGACUGCUGGGAUGGAGCACAAAAUGAACCUGUUGUAUAUCAUGGCUACACACUC
rnacentral:sRNA from 1 species